AGCGAACGCUGGCGGCAGGCUUAACACAUGCAAGUCGAACGGGCGUAGCAAUACGUCAGUGGCAGACGGGUGAGUAACGCGUGGGAACGUACCUUUUGGUUCGGAACAACACAGGGAAACUUGUGCUAAUACCGGAUAAGCCCUUACGGGGAAAGAUUUAUCGCCAAAAGAUCGGCCCGCGUCUGAUUAGCUAGUUGGUGAGGUAACGGCUCACCAAGGCGACGAUCAGUAGCUGGCUGAGAGGAUGAUCAGCCACAUUGGGACUGAGACACGGCCCAAACUCCUACGGGAGGCAGCAGUGGGGAAUAUUGGACAAUGGGCGAAAGCCUGAUCCAGCCAUGCCGCGUGAGUGAUGAAGGCCCUAGGGUUGUAAAGCUCUUUUGUGCGGGAAGAUAAUGACGGUACCGCAAGAAUAAGCCCCGGCUAACUUCGUGCCAGCCGCCGCCGUAAU
rnacentral:rRNA from 1 species